rnacentral:rRNA from 1 species
AAGCAUAUCAAUAAGCGGAGGAAAAGAAACCAACAGGGAUUGCCCCAGUAACGGCGAGUGAAGCGGCAACAGCUCAAAUUUGAAAUCUGGCUCCCCCGGGUGCCCGAGUUGUAAUUUGCAGAGGGUGCUUUGGCGUCGGCAGCGGCCUAAGUUCCUUGGAACAGGGCGUCAUAGAGGGUGAGAACCCCGUACGUGGCCGCCCGCCUUCGCCGUGUAAAGCCCCUUCGACGAGUCGAGUUGUUUGGGAAUGCAGCUCUAAAUGGGAGGUAAAUUCCUUCUAAAGCUAAAUACUGGCCAGAGACCGAUAGCGCACAAGUAGAGUGAUCGAAAGAUGAAAAGCACUUUGGAAAGAGAGUCAAACAGCACGUGAAAUUGUUGAAAGGGAAGCGCUUGCAGCCAGACUUGCCCGCGGUCGUUCUUCUUCCGCGGGCAGGCCAGCAUCAGUCUGGGCGGUUGGAUAAAGGCCCUGGGAAUGUAGCUCUCUUCGGGGAGUGUUAUAGCCCGGGGCGCCAUGCGGCCAGCCCGGACUGAGGUCCGCGCAUCUGCUAGGAUGCUGGCGUAAUGGCUGUAAGCGGCCCGUCUUGAAACACGGACCAAGGAGUCUAACAUCUAUGCGAGUGUUUGGGUGUCAAGCCCGGGCGCGCAAUGAAAGUGAACGGAGGUGGGAACCCCUCGGGGCGCACCAUCGACCGAUCCUGAUGUCUUCGGAUGGAUUUGAGUAAGAGCAUAGCUGUUGGGACCCGAAAGAUGGUGAACUAUGCCUGAAUAGGGUGAAGCCAGAGGAAACUCUGGUGGAGGCUCGCAGCGGUUCUGACGUGCAAAUCGAUCGUCAAAUUUGGGCAUAGGGGCGAAAGACUAAUCGAACUAUCUAGUAGCUGGUUCCUGCCGAAGUUUCCCUCAGGAUAGCAGUAACGUUUUCAGUUUUAUGAGGUAAAGCGAAUGAUUAGAGGCCUGGGGGUUGAAACAACCUUCACCUAUUCUCAAACUUUAAAUAUGUAAGAAGUCCUUGUUACUUAA